rnacentral:rRNA from 1 species
GAGUCGAGUUGUUUGGGAAUGCUGCUCAAAAUGGGAGGUAAACCCCUUCUAAAGCUAAAUACUGGCCAGAGACCGAUAGCGCACAAGUAGAGUGAUCGAAAGAUGAAAAGCACUUUGAAAAGAGAGUUAAAAAGCACGUGAAAUUGUUGAAAGGGAAGCGUUUGCGACCAGACUUGCGCCCGUCGGCUCAGCCGUCCCUCGUGGGCGGUGCACUCCGGCGGGCUCAGGCCAGCAUCAGUUCGCUGCAGGGGGAGAAAGGCGGUGGGAAUGUGGCUCUUCGGAGUGUUAUAGCCCGCCGCGUAAUACCCCUCGGCGGACUGAGGACCGCGCGUAAGCAAGGAUGCUGGCGUAAUGGUCGUCAGCGACCCGUCUUGAAACACGG